rnacentral:lncRNA from 1 species
AUGCUUUCUUUGGGAAAAAUUCCAACAUGGGUUCAUAUCAGAAAAUUUUUGAGGAUGAACUCAAGGGGAUCUCAAGGCAAAAACUUUCUUGAAAAGCCCUGUGGACCUGCAUUUGGCUUCUUCAUUGGACCUCUCCAUUCAAAUUGUCACAGGUCCAAAAGGAGGCUGAGUUGCCCAUUUACACGUAGUUGGUCAAGGUCUCUCUCCUGUGCUGACGAAUCUCUGGGAAAUAUGACUUCAAAGCCACCUUCUUCACUGAUGGCCACCAAGUACUCCUCCAGUUUGGACCGUUUUCCCAGAGGGACCUGUCAAGGAUUCUUGGACAGCCCUUGUGUCUGCAGGGGCUAGAAGUUUCUCUUAGAUUAAAUCAAAGACAGGAACCAGUGGCCUGGAAGGGUUUUUCAUAUGCCCCGGCUCUCAGCCAUGGCUGGGAUUCUCAGAAACACAGCGGAAGUUUGUGAGACAAAGCUGAGACUGGCAUCCCUUUCUUUAGAGACUGGUGGUGGAGAGGAGGGAGGGAGAAGUCUCGGCCAACAUACCAAACAGAGUGGUGAAAUCUUGAGAAUCUAUAAGGUCUGCCAGCCUGGCUUCCCACAAUGACAUGCCUGACCAGCCCCCCUCCCCAAUCCCCCUUCACCUGGCUGGGAGCUCAGACUAACGAACCAUAAAGGGAAGUUCCUGAGUUGAAGGCCCCAUUGCUUCGGGCUAAUCCAGUCCAGGUAGCCAGCAGCUGUCUACAGGGAGUUGAAUAAGGCUGGGCAUGUACUGCAUGCACAUACGCAGUGUCUCCUAUGAAGUUUCCCCUCAUUCAGGGUCACUCUGUUAAUCCCCUCUCUCCCCUCUCCUCCCACACUCCAUUUCCUGACUAAUACCAGAAUUAUACUGCCAGAGCCCCUAGCUCAGACCUGAUAACCACAGGCCCCUCAGAUCUGAGCCUGACUUUGUAGAGCCUUCCUAAUCCCUGGACCUCACUUGCCUUCUAUCAAGGGGCACAGGAAUUAGAGCUAGAUGAGACCUUCGGCCACCCCCCACAUUUAAAGAUACAGAAACCCAGAUUUGGACAGGCAAAGUAACUUAUUUUUCACAGGUCAGAGCA